ACUAAAACUUGCCUCCAAGCCAGGAAUUCAAAAAUAAGCACCUGCAUUGAAGCCACUGGGAGCAACAACCAAGGGAUUGGUGAGCAACAUGUUGCUUGUGUGCUACUGGUUGGGGAUCACUGCUUGAGAACAAUGUAUAAUGAUACAAAGUCAAAAGGAAGGAAUACCGGUGAAUGUCUGUAGGCGAACAGAUGGGACAGAGAAAGUAAUUUGCCAUAAAGAAACAUUUUGGUCUCACCAACAAAGAGAUUCUAACAAUGUCAAAACAGGUUAAAAAAAAUUUAAAAAAAAGCUGAAACAACUCAGCAGAUGGGACAAGAAUGCAGGAAAUAACAGUGCAUGAAAAUAAAUAAAUAAAUAAAGUUACAAAGAACUGAGCAGAGACGUGAUGAAGGGCAAACUGUACUUUGAUAUUGUUCUUUCAACUCAAUCUUGAUAAAUGAUAAUUACUAGACUAAUGCACAAACUGCACAACGAACAGAGAUGGAAAGAAUGUCACAGUUUCCAGAUGACAGAAGGGAGUACUCACCUGUUGUUCAUCAUCUUCAUCUUCAGCCUCGCAAUCCUGACAUGCUGUCUGGGGGCACAGGAAACAGAUGUUAUUUAUGCGCUUAGUCUAAGCAGAGCACUUCACUCAGGGCCUCUAGGAUUUCCAUCACAACAGCAGCCUCCUUAUCCUUCAUUGCCCCUUGCAGAUAUGAUGGCAUUACAUGGGACAAGAGACAAAACAGAGCUAGAUCGGAUUGAAAAAGACAGAAACUGAAGGAUGAUGAAAAAAAGAGAGGGGAAGAUAUCAAACAGAUAUCGCAAUAUAAAUUAUAUUUGCCCCAGACAAUCACUGAAAUAUCUCUGCAUUUCUUACUUGAAUCAGACUUUACAGCCAACAAGUCAUAUUGCGUAGGGGAGCAUAUGUGGCCCUUACAGGCUUUGAGGACAUUGGUCACUUCUCUGACUUUUAAUAAAAUGUGCCCCAACCUUUUAGCCUGGCCUGUAUUACUUUUUUUUUUGAGAGCUAAACUACCAAAAUAUUGUUUUUUACAUUAUUUUGGUGGCUUUUUUAAUUCAAUUAAUUUGGCCCUGUGUCAUUUGACAGGCCUUCCCCAUAUCCUAUUCUCCAUUUCUGAACUAUUCUUUUCCAUCCUCCAUAUACCACUCCCAUUUUUCCUUUUAAUUGAACCCUCCAUUUGGCCCCCUUCUAUAAUUUACCUGCUGUGUUAGUCUCACUAGGAUUGUUUUGGCACACAAUAUUCAUGGAAAGCACAAACUUCCCCAAAGCACUGUAGGCAGAUCUCCGGACAUUCUCGUGUAGAUCCUGGAAAAAAAUGCACAGAAUUUAUUACAGGUAUUGGCAAUUCAGUUACAGUUCCAUGCUAAUUCUGGUGCACAAUUUUGGAAACACUCAUUUAAAAUUAGUGAUUAGGCCUGUCUAUAAAGGCAUGGAGGGCUGUUUGGGUUGCUUUAAGCACCAUGUUUUGAAGCAGCCAAAAAUCAUUUGGUAAUAUUUUCAACAAUAAUGAAUGAAUCUGAAUUUGUCAUGAAAUAGCUGGCACACACAUCUGCAGCCCUAAAUGUUUAUCUGUCUUUAUUCUUGUGCUUAGUUUAUCUAGUUAUUUAAAGCGGUCUAAAUAAAGCAUUACACAUUUUGCAAUA